UACGAAGGGGGCUAGCGUUGCUCGGAAUCACUGGGCGUAAAGCGCACGUAGGCGGGUCUUAAGUCAGGGGUGAAAUCCUGGAGCUCAACUCCAGAACUGCCUUUGAUACUGAGGAUCUCGAGUCCGGGAGAGGUGAGUGGAACUCCGAGUGUAGAGGUGAAAUUCGUAGAUAUUCGGAAGAACACCAGUGGCGAAGGCGGCUCACUGGCCCGGUACUGGACGCUGAGGC
rnacentral:rRNA from 1 species